CGGUGCGAGACAGAACCAGAGUUAUAGAGAGUUGUUUCGGCUUCUUGCUAACGAUUUAUACCAUUUACAGAUUCCCCAUCUUAAAGUCAUUCUUAAAUCAGCACCCACUAUCUAUCUUGAAUGCGAGCUUCUUCAUGCGAGGUGGUGGAACUUUGAAUAUAAAAGACCGGACGAUGCUCCUCCACCGUUCAAGUCCGGUUGCUCCGAUUCUGGGAGGCCAGGAACGUCAGGCGCGGCGGCGAACUCAUGGGAGUCGAUAUAUUGCUGCUUGAUUCCCAGUACCGGCAGCGUUCUGCAGCAGAAGACGCCAUUCUAGAUAUCAGUCAUGAGUUUGACUUGGUGGAACAAAGGUAAAUAUCCCUGAAGCUCUAAGUAGUAUGCCUAAGAUAUUUGAUCCCUCUGCAUCUUACUAGAAAGGAGCAAGAAAACAUGUAUUUGCGUUUUGACUCGAGUUAUAUCGGAGACAGCAGAUGGAGAACGGAUGUUUUGCAUUUCUCAAAGUGUUUUUUUUUUUUUGAAAAAAUCAUCUCACCCCAUAUCUACGUUCGUAAGCCAAUCUUUCCCUCUAAAAUUCGAGAGUUUUUUUUUGAAAAAAAGUCAUCUCACCCCAUAUCUAUGUUCAUAAUACAAGCAUAUGCAUCAUUUAUUCCAUUCCAAGAGACGUGUACUCUAUUUAUUAUCUCCUUUUGGUGACUUUAAUCUUAUAAGUUCUGUUUCAGAUUGAUGAUUCAGACACUCGGUAAAUAAAUUUGUUUUAGUUUGAAUAGUUUAUCUUUAAGUUAGUUACUGCUUUCAAGGUCAAGAGAGUCUCUACACUUUUUAUUCAUAUGCUUUCUGCAGCAAAAGCUCAUGCAGCACUUCGACCGUCAAGAUAUGUGCUUUGUAUUUUUAGGCCAUGGGUUUUCUGCAAGUACUCCUCUACACAACAGCAUCACGAAUUGAGGAUUUAUAGGAAUUCUGCCUGGAACAUGGAAGACCUUGACAGUACACUGAGGCUGAAAGCUAGCUUCAAUUUGUAGAAAGAACGCUGGGGUAGAAACAUCUGCCUCCCAUUGCACCAACUACACACGUGAUACAAUGGUUGAUUCUUUAAACACCUUCGUCUGAGAAAAUGGUGCCGGAAACAUGUUCCUAGAGCUCAAUUUAUUGAUCUCAAGCCCACUGUUAUCAAUGAAGAGUGUAGGGGAAUUUACCGUCAGCUUUUCCAUCCUGAGCAGCUAACAUCUGUGAACAACUUGGCCGAAGACAAUUAUACUGGUGAGGAAACCAUUUCAUUACUAAUUUUUCAAAUGGUAAUUAGAAGUUAUGUUGUUGCAGUUUGUAUAUAAGAUUUGAAAUCUUUGUCAAACAUUAUAUUGUAAUUUUAUCGAAUACUAAACAGCUGUAUGUAAUAUAUAAAGUGAGACCAUGGCCUGCAA